GAUGAACGCUGGCGGCGUGCCUAAUACAUGCAAGUCGAGCGAGCGGACGAGAAGCUUGCUUCUCUGAUGUUAGCGGCGGACGGGUGAGUAACACGUGGAUAACCUACCUAUAAGACUGAGAUAACUUCGGGAAACCGGAGCUAAUACCGGAUAAUAUUUUGAACCGCAUGGUUCAAAAGUGAAAGACGGUCUUGCUGUCACUUAUAGAUGGAUCCGCGCUGCAUUAGCUAGUUGGUAAGGUAACGGCUUACCAAGGCAACGAUGCAUAGCCGACCUGAGAGGGUGAUCGGCCACACUGGAACUGAGACACGGUCCAGACUCCUACGGGAGGCAGCAGUAGGGAAUCUUCCGCAAUGGGCGAAAGCCUGACGGAGCAACGCCGCGUGAGUGAUGAAGGUCUUCGGAUCGUAAAACUCUGUUAUUAGGGAAGAACAUAUGUGUAAGUAACUGUGCACAUCUUGACGGUACCUAAUCAGAAAGCCACGGCUAACUACGUG
rnacentral:rRNA from 1 species